ensembl:lncRNA
CCCCCGCCUGCCCUGGGGGUCCCCUAGCAGCUCCCCGGAGCCCGCUGGCCCUCACGGUCCUCCCGCCGGGGCGCCCACACCCUGCGGGGGCUCCCCGGGACCCCCCUCUAUCCUCCUCCGUGUGGAGGCCCUGGGGGACGAAUGCUGCAAACAUCCGGGGGCCCUGGGCCCACCCCACACCCCUGCCCGCCGCGCCCCAGUGAUGCUGGCGGAGGUCGUGAAGCUCUUUCGCCCGCGGCUGGUGGACCUGCACAGCUGCGUCCCCACCUGCAGCAGCGGCCAGAAGCGCAGAAACUGGAACGUUCUCAACAGGCAGGGCUCCGAGCGGGGCUUUCCGCCCAGCCUUGCCUGCGGGGCCCACUCCUCGCUCCCCAAGGCUGGCCUGCGUGGGCGGCCCCCACGCUGGGGACAGGUUCUCAGGCUCCGUCCCUGCUGUGGGCUUCCCUGACACUCUGUCCAGUUCCACUUGAGGCUCCUGGGGGCUCCCCACCAAGAGGCCAGCAACAGUCAGCUUGAGACACGCUCUGCAGGGCGUUAUCCUGCCUGCUGACCUCGCCUCUCAGGCACUCACCCGCCAAAAAUUCUGGGUGCCCAACUGCUCAGGCCCAGCAGACACAGCAGUAAAUGGGCCCAGCUAGUCGAGAGAGAAGACAGAUAAGUGAGGAGACGGGGCCGGUGUCAGUUGUGACAAGUCACGUGAGGACACAGGCAGGACCACAGGAAGUGACAGCAAGCGGUGAGGGGGCGAUCUGGGGCUUACGCGAGGCUGCAGUGGGGAGGCCGUGCCGAGCCGCCAAGGGCCCUUGGGGGACCCUGCCCGAGGGGACAGUGCCUUAGCCGGCUUGAGGCCUGGCAGGUUCUGCUGGGACUUUGUCGGAGGGGAGAGAGACUGGGGGAGACGGAGGUGGGGUGGCAGCUGCCCCCACCCCCAAAGCCUGGAGAGGGCAGCAGCUGCGGCAGCCUGUGGGAAGUCAGGCUCUGAGCACCCUGGAGGUGAGUUUUCGGGACACCUGCUCAGAGCCGAGGAGCCUCAGGAGGAUGAGUGCUGCCUAGACAGGCGGCGGGGAGCCUGGGACUUGGCCGGCCUGAAGGCACAGCGCGCUGUGCCCCCAGAGCCCCGGGUGGCAACUGGGGACGAGAUGGCCCCAGGCUUCUGUGGGUGCGGGGGCCGGAAGGCACCCCAGUCCAGCUGCUCCGCACAAGGUGGGCGUGCCCGCUGGGCCUCCGGUCUCAGGCUGCACCCACUGCCUCUGCAGGAACGUCCUCCACAAGCUGGGUCUCAGCGUCUCGGAGGAAGAGAUCCGAAAGGUGGUCGUCAACACCCCUGGGGCCGUCGAGCCCAUCCUGAGUGCAGGGAGGGACAAGGUGGAGGCCAGCGAGGACCCGCCCGGCAUGGCUGCACAUGUGGCUACUGCCGCGUGGCCGUGGCCUCUGCUCUGUUGGGACACGGCUCGUUGCCUGACAAUGAGAGUAAAACCAGCAAGUAAGUGGGGGCGAGGCCCCGUGUCCCCGUGCCCGACCGGCCUGCAUCCCUUUUCAGAAGCACUCGGGUCCAGGCCGUGCCCUCUCUGGAGAGCCCGUCCCCCUGCCCAUCUGUGACGGGGACACCGGCAGGCCUGCGGACGAGGAUGUGAGACCCUCCCGGGGGUCUCACAGCACAACGGUGGAGCCCCUUGCAGGAAGCAGAAUGCUCCUGUGGUGACGCUGGUGGGUGGGGCUCGCCUCCCCUGCACAGGCUGGGGGUGUCCAGACCACCCCCUCACCCCUGCCCCGUGUGGGGCCCUGCGCCUGCGCCUGGCAGACCACCCUGCCCCACACUGGGGUGGCACCCAGCGGGAGGGGAGCGCCUCGCUCAGAGGGAGCCCUGCUUCCGUCACCCCCCGCAAGGCCAUGUGAAGUGGCCGUCGUCCAGGUUCAGGGGUCGCUUCUCCGAAUGAGUAAGCCAUUCAGAGGUGUGGCGUGCUGCACCUGUGGACCAGCUCAGGCCCGACACGGCCACAAAGCACGGCCCCUACCUGAGCUGGAGGCUGGAGCUGACAUGUCCGGUGGUCUCGCAGGCCUGCUGAGCCCCUCGGCGUGCUCUGGGGCGGAGACCCAUUGGAGUCAGAGGGCUCCAGAGAAGAUGGGCCAUUGUGCACACAGAGGGUGGGCUCCAGAU